UUAAUUAGGAUAUUGUUUGUUUUAUUAUUUUUUAUAUUAUUAUGAGAAAUAACUUUUUUGUUAGUAAAUUUUAUUGAAUUCAUUAUUUUUAACAAUAGUUUAUAUUACUGUGAAGGAAAUAUUUUUAAUUAUUAAUAAGCAGAUUUUUUUUAUUGUACCUUUUGUAUCAGGGUUUAUCAAUUUUUAUUAAUUACAGUUAAUUUUCCCGAAAUUAAAAGAGAUAUAUUUAAAUGAUUAUUUACGUGUCAAAGUGAUUUUUAAUUUAUAUAUAGAGGUUAUAUGCUAUUCAAUUUUAAAUAUCUGGUUUUCUAAUAAAUUAAUUUAAUUAAGAUUAUUGUUAGUUAUUAUAUAAUUUUAUUUUUUUUAAUUACAAUAAUUAAAUUUAUAGGGGAUAAGCUCUAUUUAUGUAUUAUAACUUCGUGUUUAAUUAACAAAAUCUUGUAGGCUUAGUAACAGCUAACAUUUAUUUCGUUAUAGUUAAUUUUUAUUUUAUAUUUAUUUAUUGGUUAGGUUUAAUUAUGUAUUAGGAUUUUUUAUUUAAUUUUUUUUUAUAAGUAAUAAUGAUAAAAUUAGUAGUUUUGAAUAUUUAAGUAUAGGAAUUCGGCAAUAAUUAUUCCCGCCUGUUUAACAAAAACAUGGCCUUUAGAGUUUUAAUUAUAGGUCUAACCUGCCCAGUGAUUGAAUUAAACGGCCGCAGUAUUUUGACUGUGCGAAGGUAGCAUAAUCAUUUGUCUUUUAAUUGAAGGCUUGUAUGAAUGGUUGGACGAGGAAUAGACUUUCUUUAUUUAAAUUUUGUGAAUUUUAUUUUUGAGUUAAAAAGCUUAGAUUUUUUUGCAAGACGAGAAGACCCUAUAGAAUUUUACUGGGUUGUUUAUAUUUAUUAUUUGGUUUUAUAAAUGUAUAAAUGUAUUUUAUCUAGUUUUGUUGGGGCGACAGUGAAAAUUAAAUAACUUUUAUUUUUUAUUAUUCAUUAAUUAAUGUAUAUGUUGAUCCUUUAUUAAGGAUUAAGAGAUUAAAUUACCUUAGGGAUAACAGCGUAAUUUUUUCAGAGAGUUCUUAUCGAUGAAUAAAGUUUGCGACCUCGAUGUUGGAUUAAAAUUAGUUUUGGGUGUAGCAGCUCAUAUUACUAAGUCUGUUCGACUUUUAAAUUUUUACAUGAUCUGAGUUCAGACCGGCGUGAGCCAGGUUGGUUUCUAUCUGCAAUUGGUUGAGUUAUGUUUUAGUACGAAAGGACCGGGCAUAAAUAAUAGUUAUAGUUUUAUUGAUUAUUACUAA
rnacentral:rRNA from 1 species